rnacentral:snoRNA from 20 species
UCGACUGUACUCGAACAGGAUCACUUCUAUAGUAGAUCCGCUUGUUCACCUGCACAGCGACAGACAACACCUUAAGUCGUGACGAUGAGUUGUACAUCCAGCCAUCCCUUGAAGGGAGGCUCCCUGUGCGAUUGGUUUCAUACCAACUUCCUCAGGGCAGCUUUGAUGAUACCGGGGCAGCUGGCGAAAGCCAGUUGCUCCAAUGGCGAGGAUGAUUCUGAACGACA